UACGAAGGGGGCUAGCGUUGUCCGGAUUCAUUGGGCGUAAAGGGUGCGUAGGCGGCGCGGUAAGUCGGGUGUGAAAUCUCGGAGCUUAACUCCGAAACUGCAUUCGAUACUGCUGUGCUUGAGGACUGGAGAGGAGACUGGAAUUUACGGUGUAGCGGUGAAAUGCGUAGAUAUCGUAAGGAAGACCAGUGGCGAAGGCGGGUCUCUGGACAGUUCCUGACGGCUG
rnacentral:rRNA from 1 species